UGUCUCUCUCUCUCUCUCUCUCUCUCUCUCUCUCUCUCAGGCAUGGCCAAGGUCCCCCCGGUUCAGCAGGCCAAAAUUACUCUAUUUUCACUGCACCAGGGCUAAAGAGCAAGGACCCGUAUGAUCAACAGCCAGUAAAAUGCAAAGGCAUGGCCAAGGUUCCCCUGGUUCAGCAGGCCAAAAUUACUCUAUUUUCACUGCACCAGGGCUAAAGAGCAAGGACCCGUAUGAUCAACAGCCAGUAAAAUGCAAAGAUGUCUCUAUAUUUGCAGCUGGGAAAAAUCAUUUGGCUAAAGUCUUGAAACCCCUUUUGCGCAAAAAAAUGAAGGCAGAAUGCAUAGUUCCUGACGUUUUCCUUGCUAAGAAGUGACCUCUGCAAUUUGAAAAAUAUUUUCUGAAAUUCAUUUUCAUUCUUUCCCUUGUUUUCUAUAUACAUUUUUUAAUUCUUCAAGCAUUAUAAAAUAAUAAAAUCAUUUUAUCAUCAA